GACGAACGCUGGCGGCGUGCCUAAUGCAUGCAAGUCGCACGCAGCCUCCUUCGGGAGACUGAGUGGCGCACGGCUGAGGAUCACGUGGGAACAUGCCUCCUUGUGGGGACAACACCGCGAAAGCGGUGCUAAUCCCGCAUACGCUCGUGCAAACGAGGAAGGCUUGCAAAAGCGCAGGGAGAGUGGCCCGCGGCCCAUCA
rnacentral:rRNA from 1 species